CAGUGGAAGGUGUCCCUGCCCAUGGGAGGGGACAUGACUGGAUGAGCUUUAAGGUCCCUUCCAACCCAAAGCAGUCUGUGAUGCUGUGAUUACUUUUGUGAGGUUGUAAACACCACUCUUCCAUCUGCAGAAGGAGAAAACCUUUGGGAAAAGCACAGAGAACACUGCUAAUGAAUGCCUGUCCCAGGGCAGCAGGGAAACAUCUCUGCAGCUGGGCUCCUGGUUAACCACCUCACAAAAAUGUUCUUCCGUAGGUGGUAAAUGCAGAGUCAGAACUGCGGCUGCCAAAGGCACCGAGUUCAGGGUAACUUUCAGAAAUCUGUCAUUCUUCACUUCUCCCUCAACAAGGAGUUACAGAUUUGUGUGUUGCAAAUCAGGUCAGCCAGCUGCCAAGCACUGUAAUAAGCAACCUGCUAAUGCAAGUCACACAAAGCAGUUGUGCCUAAACACACACUUAUCCUCCAUAUCACCUUCCUCUUACUCUGCAAAGACUUACAACUUAAUACAAAAGGUAAAUUGUUUUACCAGGACCUUUUAAGAAUCCAGCACUAGAGAAGAUAAUUCACUAGUUUCACACAUCUCAAAGCAUGUUGAACACUUGGUCGUGUGCUUCAUUUGUAGUUUAAAAUACAGAUAUGCAAACAGAAGCUAAAACUAACCAGGUUUAAAGGAAACAAAACUAGAAGAAUAAUAUAAUCAGGUGGCAACUUCAUUAAGAAAAAAGUCAAUAUAUUUAAUAAAUUUCUGAAACACAGCAACUGGGUCCCACAAGUGAUCCAGGCUGCUGUCCUGCAUGUUGAUUACUUGCAUUUGUGCCCCAAAAAAGGUCUCAAUACAAAAGAUGAAAAAUUUCAGAAAUCUCAUCUGCUCCUAAAAGUCUACCUCUAUGUACAGAAAUAUAUCCUUUGGAAGCUUCAUUAUUGGGUGUUUUUACCUUUUUCAUUGCUUGCUUUUCAUGAUAAUAGACCCUGAUCCUGCAAAAUAGGAUCACUUCUACUUUGUGUUCCAGUCAAAUUCUGUUAUAAAACCAGUCACUGUUAAAGGUAAUACACUGGUGAGCCUUUUCCUUGCGGUGAGUCAACCACUUUCCACAAAGGAAAGGCAAUAUUGAAUUUUUAAGUGAAAAAUCAAAGGGUUAUUUAAAAAAAAAGCCCUCCCACAGACUGUAAUUAUUACUGAUACCCUUGCAUGGAUGACAGAUUUAUCUUCUUUUUCUCAUUUCUUUAAGUUUACAGACUUUCCAGCUCUUCAGGAUAUGAGGCAUAUGGCUGUACUCCCUGCCCAUCACUCCUUUCCCUGCCUUUCCACCCCCUUUUCUUCUCUGUAAGCCAGGUGUGCAAGAGAAAGGAGGCAGCCAAUAGUUUUAAAUUGCUGUGCACUGAGAAAUGUUACAGCUAAUUGAGAGACAAGCUCUGCAUCAGAGUCCCACUACAGAACAGAAUACAAAACUCAGCAUAGAGGGGAAUGCUGAUGGUGGUGAUGUCGUGUGUGCAGCAGACCUUGAGGAUGUUCCUGAGCCCCAUGAUGGCCGGGUCCCGGGCAGUCACGUUCACAGACCUGACAUUGUCAUCCACACACAGGUGAAAGGCAACGUGGAUUUCUGAGAGGUUUGAGUGCCGUGUGAUGUAGAACUCUCCUGCACAAUGAGGCAAACCAGGAAGGUGAGAAAUCAGGUAGUGAUCUGUACUGAAAUCCAAUUGUUUGGCAAUGUAAGAAAGAGGCAAAUGCAAAUAUACAGCAGAGAUGAGAACAUACACAAGAGAUGCAAAAUCUCUUGGACUAUCACUGUUUUACAACCACCCCACACUCCCUCCCCUGCUUUGAUGGAUUCCACUGGCAUCAUGGCCACAUGGUGUAAUAAACCAUAACAGUGCCAGUACAGGAUAUGAUCCCUAUAUAGCACAAAAUAGAAAAACAAACCCAGAGGAGGUGCAAUACUCAAAAUACACAAUGCAAGCACAGAAUUGCAGACAGAUGUGGGAGGCGGAAAGGCCAAAAAAGGAUGGGUUCAAAUAAAGGAUGCACAGAGCCUGUGGAAAAAGAUAGUGGGUUACAUAACAACUGAGAUAUGGCACUAGAACACAAAGGGAUCAGUGACUAUUAGAAUUUAAAAUAAUUCAGAGUAGUGGGAAGGUGAAUUACAGAGUUGUCUGAAAAAAGUAACUAAGACAUCUUAUUGGGGGUAUUUUUAAUUUUGUUAUUCAUUUAUCAAAGGUGAGGGGCAGUAAAAUUCACAUCUCUUCAUCGUUCCUCUGCACUGGAGAUUUAAAGUCUACAGUACAGUCAAGGGAAGAGCAGGUCUGCAAUGCCCCCACUGUUUCAGUCAACAAAUAAACAUCUUCCUUCAAACCUAUUCCCACUGGCCACUGAAGUUAAGAUCUUUUCUUUGAACUGGAAGAGCUAGAGAAUGGGUCUGUACUCCUUCUGGAUGACUGCUAAGGAGGCAGAAAUCCCCAGCAGUGACCAUCUACAAGCAGUAACAGGCAGGCCACUGGUGCAAGACACACCUGGAUUUGUCUGGUCCAAGAUGAUUUAUAAUCCACUGUCACUAACAAUAUUUAAGACAGUCAGGAAAUCAAUUUUAAGAAACCCUCAUUCAACCACAGGUUGUAUGGACUUAAUCCCUCCCCCCUCCAACUGCAUAUACCUCUUCAAAUUGCAUAGCAGCUUUCCUUACUAAACAUCACAAUAUACACAGAAGAUACUUUCCCUGAGAGAGGAAUUUCUCAAAGUUAAAAAAUCCACUCAAAAAUGCUUUUCUGUAUCACAACAGUGAUGUACAUAUAGCUAUUUUCAAAAAUAAAAUCAGCUGUUAGUAUUGAAGUUUCACCUUUUCCCCAAGAUGCUCAUAGAUUUUUUUUUUCACCCUCAAAUUCCAAAAGGAAAUUUUAGGCAAAGAGAAGUGAUUUGCCCCAUGCCAUGUGACGCAGUGGCAAAGCUGGGAAUAGAAACCAGAUGUCCUGACACCCAGUCCUCUGCCUCAGCCACAGGAACAUCCUUCUCCUCUGAUUGAGGUCAGCUUGGGUUCAGUUUGUAAUUUGUGUUCCGACUUUAGAGCUAAAAAUGUGCCAUGUAUGAAACACAAUUUGCUUCAAGAAGAGGGGCUCAAUGCCACACAACUCACCCGGCAAAAUGUUUGACUGGUUCCGUUCGAUAUUCUUUAAUUUAUCUUCAUUCCCACUGAUUUUGUUUUCUGUGUAUGAACACAUGGAACAAGUAUUAAUCAUAUCCUCUAUUAAUUACACUUGGGCAUGAAAAGGUUCAUGUACUGAUAUGUGGCUUGAAUUUUGACCAUGAAGUUACCAUAAAGUCCCCAAAAAGCAGGGGGAUGGGUAGCAUUGUUUUCUCUGUCUUCAACACAUCCCAAACUGAAUCUUACCUCAAAUCACUGCCUUUCUUACCAUCCUGUGAUAUUUCUUCAUUUGGACAAAAGCAAACAAAAUAUUCUCAGAAAUAACACGAAACUUUGGAAAUUGCCCCCACAACCACAUAGUAUCUUGCUAUUACUCUUUCAAGAAUGUAAUAAAUUAAAAUUAAUUUGUUCCUAAGAGAUUUACAUAAAUCAGCAGCAUAAAACCAGCUUUCACCAUUUCUCUCGAGAUGCAGCAAUAUGCAGGUUCUCAAGGAAACUUGUUUUUCUGUGUACUCAUAUUUGUUCAUGUUCCUGAUGCAUUUAAAUCAUGUAAGUAGCUCUUUGCAAGGAAAAUAAAGUUUGAUAAUGUAGAAUU